CCAAAUUAAUUUUUUGCUUCUUCUGGAUCUGUAAAAAACCUACCCGUGUUCGACGUCUGCGAGAAUUGUACAGCGCGGUUCGAUCUAAGCCCCCUCACCCCCAAGAUAGGGAUUCCUCGAACGGAGGAGCUCCAUAGCGCGUCUGCUUGAUCACGGUCCAACUCUGGCGGUUCUCUCAGACAUCAGGAGACCGCCGCCCACAUCUCCAUCUCGUCGCAUGUCUGUGAUCAAAAUCGUCGUUGACAAAGGAACGAUAUCCCUUGUUCGUCUUAGAACCAGAUAGCUAGAGCGCGCGCGCGAGAGAGAGAGAGAGAGAUUGUACCGGGUUGUACCCAGCCAAGGACGCGGCUUGGUUUGACUUCACGCUGCCCAUCGGCGUCUAUUCUAGGAAGGUCAACGCCCAGGUCUCGUAACUGUUAGGGAUGGGAGGAGAGCUCGAAAGACUAGAGAUCUGAGAAACGCGUUGCUGUCGCUACAAUGAGU
rnacentral:lncRNA from 1 species